rnacentral:rRNA from 1 species
CCCUUAGAUGUUCAGGGCCGCACGCGCGCUACACUGAAGGAAUCAGCACGUCUUUCUCCUUGUCCGAAAGGACUGGGUAACCCGCUGAACCUCCUUCGUGCUAGGGAUUGGGGCUUGUAAUUCUUCCCCAUGAACGAGGAAUUCCCAGUAAGCGCGAGUCAUAAGCUCGCGUUGAUUACGUCCCUGCCCUUUGUACACACCGCCCGUCGCUACUACCGAUUGGAUGGUUUAGUGAGAUCCUCGGAUUGGUCCCGGCGCGGCCUCUGGUCGUGCCGGAGUGCCGAAAAGAAUGUCGAACUUGAUCAUCUAGAGGAAGUAAAAGUCGUAACA